rnacentral:misc_RNA from 1 species
GAUGAAGACCGCAGCGAAAUGCGAUACGUAAUGUGAAUUGCAGAAUUCAGUGAAUCAUCGAGUCUUUGAACGCACAUUGCGCCCCCUGGUAUUCCGGGGGGCAUGCCUGUCCGAGCGUCAUUGCUGCCCUCAAGCACGGCUUGUGUGUUGGGCCUCCGUCCUCCUCCCGGGGGACGGGCCCGAAAGGCAGCGGCGGCACCGCGUCCGGUCCUCGAGCGUAUGGGGCUUCGUCACCCGCUCUUGUAGGCCCGGCCGGCGCUUGCCGACACAUCAAUCUUUUUUCCAGGUUGACCUCGGAUCAGGUAGGGAUACCCGCUGAACUUAAGCAUAUCAAUAAGCGGAGGA